CGCCUGUUUAACAAAAACAUCUCUUUUUGAGCAUAAAUAAAAAGUUUAACCUGCCCACUGAUAAAAUUAAAUGGCCGCAGUAUAUUAACUGUGCAAAGGUAGCAUAAUCAUUAGUCUUUUAAUUGAAGGCUGGAAUGAAUGGUUGGACGAAAUAUUUACUGUUUCAUAUUAAUUUUUGAUAAAAUUUUAUUUUUUAGUAAAAAAGCUAAAAUAAUAUUAAAAGACGAGAAGACCCUAUAAAUCUUUAUAUUUUAAUUAAUUUUUAUAAAUUAGAAAUUAAAUUAUUUAAUUUAAUUUAAAUAUUUUAUUGGGGUGAUAUUAAAAUUUAAUUAACUUUUAAUUUUAUUGAACAUUAAUUUAUGAAUUAUUGAUCCAAUAAUAUUGAUUAUUAGAAUAAGUUACUUUAGGGAUAACAGCGUAAUUUUUUUGGAGAGUUCAUAUUGUUAUAAAAUAUUGCGACCUCGAUGUUGGAUUAAGAAAUAAAUUUAGGUGUAGAAGCUUAAAAAAUUAAACUCCUGGUCGUUCAGA
rnacentral:rRNA from 1 species